rnacentral:rRNA from 1 species
GUCCAGACUCCUACGGGAGGCAGCAGUGGGGAAUAUUGCACAAUGGGGGAAACCCUGAUGCAGCGACGCCGCGUGAGUGAAGAAGUAAUUCGUUAUGUGAAGCUCUAUCAGCAGGGAAGAAAAUGACGGUACCUGAGUAAGAAGCCCCGGCUAACUACGUGCCAGCAGCCGCGGUAAUACGUAGGGGGCAAGCGUUAUCCGGAUUUACUGGGUGUAAAGGGAGCGUAGACGGCGAUGCAAGCCAGAUGUGAAAGCCCGGGACUCAACCCCGGGACUGCAUUUGGAACUGUGUGGCUGGAGUGUCGGAGAGGCGGGCGGAAUUCCUAGUGUAGCGGUGAAAUGCGUAGAUAUUAGGAGGAACACCAGUGGCGAAGGCGGCCUGCUGGACGAUGACUGACGUUGAGGCUCGAAAGCGUGGGGAGCAAACAGGAUUAGAUACCCUGGUA